rnacentral:rRNA from 1 species
GCAGGCUGCAACCCGCCUGCAUGAAGCCGGAAUCGCUAGUAAUCGCGGAUCAGAAUGCCGCGGUGAAUACGUUCCCGGGUCUUGUACACACCGCCCGUCACACCAUGGGAGCCGGGAAUGCCCGAAGUCAGUGGCCCAACCGAAAGGGGGAGCUGCCGAAGGCAGGCCUGGUGACUGGGGUGAAGUCGUAACAAGGUACC